ACAAUCCUUCUAAGUGGAAGUGUAAUGGUGUCCGAAGCUGGCAGGCAUGAAGUACAUAUAAAAUGAGCGUUUGCCACACUGCAGUCGAGCAGUCCGGGCCCGGCUCGAGUGCAUUAAGAUGCGGAGCGGGUUUUUGCCGAGGCUUCGUUCGUUAGUUUUUUCUACCCCUUUCUUGUGUUUUUUGUUCAGCUUCUUAGUCUUUCUGUGUGUGUGUGGCGCUAUUUGCCACACCCAAUUCCUGUACCCGUGGCUGCGGGAGACACUGAUUUCUUCCAAGGAUUGCACUUUCACAGGAAGGAAUGUGGAGACUUUCCCCGUGGUUUAUCUGUACGUCGGCACGCGGUUUAAAAUUUCCCCACGCUUCAGCGCGUUUAAGUGUUUCAACGGUCUAAUGCAAAGCUGUUGCAAUCUUCCGUGGGACCGACUGGCAGUAAGGACUUCGGAAUGCCAAGGCAAGGUAUCCGGGUGGCAAGUGCGGUAGGAGGUAUCACACAAAUGAAAGCACUGCACCAGGGUGAAGUUAAUACUGCGGCUUACGGGCUUGGUGAUGGAGCAGGAUGAUUAAGCCGCGUGAAAAUGGUUGCCCGCCGAUGUCGCUGCCACCGAUACCGCUCUGGAAGGACCGACACUACACGGUGCGGUAGCAGCAUUUGUUUGCGUUUUGUUGCAGGCAACACUUUCCAGUGCUUGUAGUUUAUCGAUCUUACGAUACCCUUGCGGGAUGUGGGUUUGCGAAAAAAGGGGUACAAGUGAGCGAAUGGGGAACGAUUGUGCAGUGAAUAUGGCCGCUAGCUGUGUAGUGGGGAAUCGGGCACUGCUCGUUAGUAAAUGACACCCGGGGUAAUAUUUUGGGCCAUGCCGAAAGGCGAAAGACGUACAGAAGCUCGCCCUUGAGAACUGUACGGUAGGUGGUUGUCUUUGUCGAGCGAUUGUGCUUAAUAUUUACGGUAGGGAAGGUAGUAUUAAAAGGAGGAUCACUGGAAGCUGUGGUGGAUUCUGUUAAUAUUAGUGUACGGAAAAGGAUCUUUAAUACGCGCAUGGGAUAUUAAACGCGUAAUUUAUUUCUUUAGACCUGCAAAUAGUAAAUCAAGAUUUAUUAGAGUACGAUGUGAAAUGUUUGUUAUAAGCUUUUCUUUAAACUAUUAGAUUAAGCUUGAAUACUUGGCAAUUGACAGGAAUCAAUCAUCAGGUUACAGUGAAGGUCAAUAGAAUAAGACCAAAUAUUUUUGUAAUAUCGUAAAGUGUAGGAGUUGAUGCUGAUUUUAAAUGAACGAAUAAACAAAUAAUACAAAAUUUAUUUGAAAAUUUUGGUAAAACGAUUCUAUCAUUGGAAGAAUAAAAAAAUCGAUUCUUAGUAUCUGUUUGUCCUCUUCAUGAAAAUGUGACCUAAUAUUCUGAAUAUGAGCAUAUUUAGGGUAAAAUAAGGCUUUUAAUUAAAUGGUCUUAUUAUUUAUUUUGUCGUGGUCCGGUGACCGUGGCAAUAGCGGCGCCGUCCUUCACACGACAGGACUUCAGUUCAAUUCCCAGUCCAGUCGGCCUCCUUGUAUGCAGGGCCGACUAUCCAACUACGGCUACAAUUUCAAGGUUGUAGUAGAUAGUAGCCUAGGAAGAAGGAAAAGAAUAUUGUUAUAGAAUAUAGUUUUUGGGUUCUCAUCUUUCUAUUUCUGAAUUUUAAAGUAUUCCAAACUUUUUUAUGAGCUAGACCUUGUAUAUAUCAACUUUAAAGAUUGAUUUUUUACCAUUUUUUUUGAUAAUUUCAAAAAGAAUACAACAUUGAUAUAGAAAGAUAAAAUAUUGAUGAUGCUUCUGAAAUUUAGGUAUGAUUACGUCUAGUAAACAUUUCGAAAAAAGUAGUUUGAAAAUCUUAUUUAGAAGUGGUUCUAUUAUAUUAUCCAUCACUGUAUUUAAAUUGAAGUUUAAAACAACACGUAACAAGUGAUAAAAAAUAUGGUAGAAAAAGACUUAGUAAACAUAAAGCUAGAGUAGACCUCACCCAUGAUUAUUUGCAUGAAGAAGCUAAACUAAGCACGGCAUGAAACCGUAAUAAUGAAAACCUAAUAAAAAUAAAUAAUUCCGCUAAUAUAUUAAUAACCGUAUAAUAUUAAUCCAAAA